AGGAUUCUCCUAGUAACGGCGAGUGAACGGAGAUUAGCCCGUCACCGAAGUCCGGUGCUAUUGCAUGCAGGACAAUGUGGUGUUUAGGCGUGUGCCUGGGAUUGUGUACCUACUCGAAGUCCAACUCCGAUUGUGGCUUGGAUGUGUCCCAGAGAGGGUGAAAGGCCCUUACGGGUAGGAUGUGGCAUAUAUACACAGUCCUCAGAUGCAUAUGCUUUCGAGUCGGAUUGCUUGAGAAUGCAGUCCAAAGUGGGUGGUAAACUCCAUCCAAGGCUAAAUACUGGCGCGAGUCCGAUAGUAGACAAGUACCGUGAGGGAAAGUUGAAAAGUACUCUGAAGAGAGAGUAAAUAGUACGUGAAGCCGUUUGCAGGGAAGCUGGUGGAGUCAAGCUUCGUGCUGGAGAAAUUGUAGUCAGCGUUGUUGUGUGUGUUACGUGGAUGCGAUAGCAUGUCGAUAUGGAAAGUAUCGGGCGUAUUCGUGCGUCCCGAGACAUUCUGGGUAGUGUGUUCUGGGCGUGCUAACGUAUUCUCACGUUGACUAUCUAUUUUUCCAUUUAGCACAAAUCACAGUCGACAACGUACGCGCUACGUGAUUGUUUAACAGUGUUUCGGUGAGCUUUCAGUUUGCUGUGCAUUGAAUGGCAGGUCUCGGUCUUUGUGUCUCGUUUCACAUUGUAACCGAGUAUAGUGGUUUUGACCAGCCAAUUCUCAUAUAGUGUCGUUGUUGUCGUUCAUGAUAUAGGGAUGUAAUUGUUCAAAUUGCAUUCUAGUAAUAACUGUGAUUCUGAGGUAGA
rnacentral:rRNA from 1 species